GUUUCAGAAAGCGGGAGGACAUCCAAUCAGACAGAAGAAAGGCAAGAGUUGACACAUUGCAGGACAUCAGGGGAGAGGUCCGGGGAGGAGAGAUAUAUCUGGGUGUCAUCAGCGUAUUGGAAUCCGAAAGAGGUAAUAAGUUUGCCAAGAGAGGCAGUGUAAAGAGAAAAUAGAAGGGGACCAAGGACAGAGCCUUGGGGGACUCCAACUGAGACAGGACCAAUGGUUGAGGUAUCAUUAGAAAAGGAGACACUGAAUGAGCGUUGGGAGAGAUAACUGGAAAACCUCUUAUCCUGAAGAGUGAUUGAAGAGUUUGGAGAAG